AUGGCGAGCGGCGACACGCUGGACGAGUUCGCCGGCAAGCUCGGUGGCAUGGCGGCUCGCUACGCGGCGCUCGGCUUGACGCUGGAGGACGCCGCGUUGGUGAAGAAGCUGCUCGACUCCGUGCCGGACCGCUUGUACGCGGCGGUGGCCGGGAUCGAGCAGUUUUGCGACGUGUCGACAAUGCCGUUCGAGGAAGCACUCGGGCGGCUGAAGGCGUUCGACGAACGGCUCCGAUGGCGUGGACAGGCAGGCGGCGAGCGGGCGGACGGUGAGCAGCUCAUGCUCAGCGCGGCACAGUUGCGGGCGCGCGAGCGGCGCCGGGGCGGUGCACGCGGAGAGGACGACGACGACGGCGCGGCCAGCACAGCAUCAGGCGGAGGGAACAACCGUCGCGGGAAGUGCUACAAGUGCGGCAAGCGGGGUCACUUCAAGCGUGACUGCCCGCAGUGGAAGAAGGCGCCGGCGCCGGAGCGUGCACUGCUGGUCGACGGCGACGUCGAGGACGGCGGGCUGCUCUGA
rnacentral:rRNA from 1 species